GAAAGGGAUUGCAUCUGUUCUUAUCGGUGCCUCUCAGCAGGGCCAGAUUUUGAGCUCAGUUACCCUAGUGUAAAUCUGGAGUACCCCAUUGAUUUCAAUCUGGCCAUUCUGUUUGUACACCAGCUGCUGGCAGCCCUGGAGAACAGGCUGGACCUUCUUUUGGAGACAAUCAGUGCCUCACUUGAAGUGGCCACUGGCAAAAUUCUCAAGGUGUCCCUUACAUAGGGAGCUCCCUUGUUCUAGUUUCCUUUUGGUUUUCAAUUAUUUGCAAUGGGAAUGCAGAAUUGUGAAUAGACUAUUUUAUUUAUUGCAAUGGAGAACAACAUACUGUGUCAUGCCCAUCUGCUACUCUGGGAGCCUUUGAUAUUAUUUAAAAAAAAAUACAACCCACCAAUAAACUCCCAGGAAGAGCUCCAGCAAAAUUCCACUCCCAACACAAUGCAAUGGGGAAGGCCUCUGUCCCCAUAAAUACUCUCCCAUGUCAAGCGCCAACUGGUCCAGCAGCCCAGACAAGAAGAUGCAUCUGGUAGGGUGCUCUAAAGGACAACAAUCCCGGGCUAUUGCAGCCCAAGGACAGCAGUUUCUUUUACACCUGAGGGUUCCUUGCAGGGAUAAUGAUUUAUAAUGAAGUUGCUAAUGCACAUAAUCCAGCACAUGGUCUUUUGUCCCCAGUCUCCAUUUGAUUUUUGAUGAGUUCAGAGGUAUGGACAAAAAUAUCACUGUUGACUCAUGCUAGCCAGUCCUUCCUUCUUGAAUCUGAAAGCUCUGAUCCGCCCAUGGAGCAGCAGAAUGAGAUUAGGAAAUGGCUCCUGAGCUCCCACAUGACUGUGGGAAAUACUAAGACUUGAGGUUCAAAAAAACCCCCAACACUGUGCUCAGUACACCUGCUAUCCCAGGCAUGGGGUUUUCCUGACAAUCAGGCCAUAUCAUGUAGUACUACUCAGAGUUCUGUGAUGUGGCAAAUAUGGCAGGACUACGAUGAGACCAACAAGCUCAGUUUCAUGCAAGUAUUAUUUUAACACAUGCUUUGAACUCAGAUCUCUUUGAGACACAAGGCAAGUGCUUUAUACAAACUUUAGCCCAGUAGCUAUGGUCUCUCUGACUAUUCCUGGACUGAUAAAUACACACCCUGUGAUGUGUUGUUACUUAGCUAUCAGUCACUGUUAUAUGUUACUGCUUCAAUAAUUACUGGUUUGUACGCACUUCACAUGAAUUUGAAUUGAUACAAGUGCAACACUCUCAGCAGGGUGAAGCAGUGCAUCAUUGCCCUUCUCCAUGAACAGAAUGGAUUCUUAUGCAUUACUGCUUCAGAUGUGACCUGCUCACAGUAGCAGCCACAUGCCCGUUCAGCAAGGGACCUGCUGAUGACCACAGUUGGAUGGAUGUCCAGUACUGAAUUCCACUAUACACGCCCCACCACACAGACUCUCCAAGGAGCUGCAAUUAGCAAAUGUAAAAAAUAUCAAUGAAGGCCCGAAGACUAAAAUGCAUUGAUUGUAUGGAUACCUCUUUUCUGACAGAGACUGGAAUAAUGGAAAGCUUCGUUCCUUUUCGAUGACAUCACUGGCUUCUGUGGCAGGCAACUAGCAGAGAUUUUUUUCCUACUAAUCAGGUACAUUCAAAAGGCCUUGACAGAGCAGAUAUGAAGAGUUAAUAUUUGGCUUGACAGUGCCCACCAUUGUUUUAUGAAAAACUGUCACACUUCAGUAGCAAGUUCAAGCAAUCGGUAAAGAACAUUCUUGAGAAAGUGCCACCGGUGGCUUUGGCAAUAUUAGCACCAUUGUUAGAAAAAUGAAACCCACUAAAAUCAUGUUUGGUCCUUAUGAGCACAGCCACUCAAAUAUCUGCUCUUAAGGGCUCUCCAGCCAGUUGUCAACAGUGCAGCUCUUGACAAGUUUCCAUACAAAGGCACAACCAUAGGCAUCACAUUGUCUUCUUUGUGCUACUUCCCUAAGCAGUGAGAUGUUUUGCCUUUUGGAAAGGUAGUGACCUUUCCAGGAAACAAAAGAACAAGAAAUAUGAUUAUUUCUGUUUGGCGCUCCAAAGUAAUGAUCACGUGGUUAAUACAGACACAAUCCCCAGUAACUCUUGAGAUGGGCAUCUACGAUGCAGAAAGUACAACAAAAACAGAAAGAAAAAAAUUAGGUAUUGCCCCCAGAAGAAGUCUAGUUCUAGUGCACAACAAACACAGACACCCAACCCCAUCAUUCAGAUUUCCCAGUGCCUGUGCAAGAUGAGCCUCUUGGUGAAGAGCAGCUGAUUGGGACCCAAAUCUAGGUGAACUAGAUUUCUAGAGGAAAUGCUGGUGGAAAGACAAAAGAUGGUCUUGUGGUUAAAUCAGUGGAUUGAGCCUAAAUCAAGGCAAAGCAAAGGGGAAGCUAAAUCCAGAUACCUCACCGUCUCUGGCAAGACAUAAUUGCACCAACUCUGCACCUGCCAAAGUGAGUCCAUAUGGGUCCUCCCUGAUAUUUUUACAGCCUACACAAUUCAGCUUCCUGAUCAAAGACAGCCUUUUGUGGUAAUACUCUUGGCUUUUUAUGACUAAUGAACUGGAGGGACUUCUUCUGGUAGAAUAGCACAGUUGGAAUUUGGUUUUCAUUGCAAUAAUGCUCUUUCUAUAAUCCCUUGCUAAGGAAUAAUCUUUAGCUUUACAUCAAUUGACUCUCAAAAGAAUAAGAGUUUGUUACUGUGAAAACAGCAAACUGAGUAUGUCCCCAAAUGAGUAAAGUUUCCUUUGCCUGAAUUGAAUUCAGUGAAUGUUUUCUUAAGUGUGGAUGUUGAUGGGUUCCUUUAGAUGUGGUAGCCCCGUGAAAUCUUGUGCAUGUUUAGAACAUUUACAUGUGGUGAUUUUUCCCAGUCGAUCAGCUACUCCAUUGUGAUUGUCACUUUGCAAUAGAAAUAAACAGGCUGGCCUAUUUCGAGAGCACCAAGUCAGAAUUACAAGUUGAAAAAACAUUUUAAUGUUAAUGGGCGGGAUUCACAAAGAUGCUUAAGUGUGUAACUCCCACUGAUUUUGGAGUAAGGUGCCUAAGUACCUUUGUGAAUCCCACUCAACAUGUUUAUAAGGACCAUUGCCUAUUCCAUAAUUAGAGAGAAGGUUAUUUAGCUCACGAUGCCUGUCAGCGAGAAUUACAGCAACAGUAGCCUGAGAGCAGCAUCUCAGAUGGAAGGCAAGUCUUGUGGGUCAGCCAAGAGGACUUAGGCCUUGUCAGCACUGACCUUAAGCUGCAAGAAUGGGUGAUAAAAAUGGCCUAUCCUCCAGGACAUUGUUAUCUGCAAGUACUGGCAGCUCCAGAUUCAUCUGGGACUGGCCCUGUUCCAUAUAACUGUACAACACCUCUACUGCCCUACACUGAAGGUUUUCUCUGACCAGAUUUAGGUAUUGCACAUGCUUCAUGUACAACAGGUUAAGUUGUCUUUCGCAUUAGAGUGGCUACACUUCAUUAAAAUGAAUCUAUUGUUUCCAUGGCAGAACAAAAUGUCCAAGUACGUGGCUAGUUAUGGGAAGAGAGAAGAUAAUAUGGUCGGACAAUUUGAGUACUAGCAUCCACUCCAUCAUGAAGAAUUCAGAGUGAAGAACUGCUGGGUGAGGAAAGUGGUCAAUUGAAGUAUGUGACUACAAGAACCAGGCAGAGGAAAAGACCAGCUAAUGAAGAAGAAAUAUAGUUCAGGAACAGGUUUGCUGAGUGGCACAGAAGGCGCCAGUAACUGAAGGUGGGAGGACAAGGAAGAAGAGAAGAGCAGCUACUCCUGUAAGAAGAGGGGGAAAGUCAAUGGAGAAAGCCAGAGUUCAAAGCUCCAGGAGGCUACAGGAUGACUCACAGAAGAUUACAACGGAGAAUAAAAGACAAGAGGACUUGCGGCCAGAAAGAACAGGAGGAAGGUUGGAGAAUAACAAAUCCCCAGGAAGAGGCAGGUCUACAUGAUUGAUGACUCCCUACUAAGAAGAAUGGAGAAGCCUAUUACCAGAGCUGAUCUAAGGAACAGAAGGUUGUGCCAUCUGCCAGGAGCUAAGAUAUGGGAUGUGGACCUGAGGCUGAAGAGAAUCCUAAUGGGAGCAGGACAGAAUCCACUGAUUGUCCUUCACAUGGGAACAAAUGAUACAGCUAGAGACUCGCUGGAAUGUAUCAAGGGACACUAUGCCAAGGGACACUGGGGAAGAAGCUUAAGGAAAUGGAGGCUCAGGUGACCUUCAGUGGGAUUCUACCUGUCUCUAGAGGAAGAGAACAAAGGCAAGACAAGAUUAUGAUGACCAACAGAUAGCUCAGGCUGUGGUGCUAUAAGGAAGGCUUUGGGAUGUUUGGCCACUGGGAGGCAUUCAUUGUCAGAGGACUGUUAUCAUGGGAUGAUCUCCACCUGAGUAGGGAGGGAAGUAGAUUUCUGGGAUGGAAGUUGGCGCAACUGAUUAAAAGAGCUUUAAACUAGGAACUUGGGGGAAAUGGUUGGGAGAUGCUCAUGUCAUAUCCUUGCCUGAUUCUAAUGUUGGGCAGAAGGAAAAUCAAGUAAGAAAGGACACAGCAAUGGAGAAUGGAACAGCAAGGGGUAGGAGAAUGGACAUUAAAAGGAAAAAUAGUGCUGAUACCAA